rnacentral:tRNA from 1 species
CCCUCGAUAGCUCAGCUGGAAGAGCGUGGGACUGUAAUGGUUACUCCCGAUCAUCCCAAGGCCAUCGGUUCGACCCCGAUUCGAGGGA